rnacentral:rRNA from 1 species
AUAGCACUCCGCCUGGGGACUACGGUCGCAAGACUAAAACUCAAAGGAAUUGACGGGGACCCGCACAAGCGGUGGAGCAUGUGGUUUAAUUCGAUGCAACGCGAAAAACCUUACCACUCCUUGACAUGGAGAUUAGAUCCUUCUUAACGGAAGGGCGCAGUUCGGCUGGAUCUCGCACAGGUGCUGCAUGGCUGUCGUCAGCUCGUGUCGUGAGAUGUUGGGUUAAGUCCCGCAACGAGCGUAACCCUCAUCCUUAGUUGCCAGCGGGUAAUGCCGGGCACUUUAAGGAAACUGCCGGUGGUAAACUGGAGGAAGGUGGGGAUGAUGUCAAGUCAGCACGGCCCUUAUGGGGUGGGCUACACACGUGCUACAAUGGUGACUACAAUAGGUUGCAAUGUCGCAAGGCUGAGCUAAUCCGUAAAAGUCAUCUCAGUUCGGAUUGUCCUCUGCAACUCGAGGGCAUGAAGUCGGAAUCGCUAGUAAUCGUGGAUCAGCAUGCCACGGUGAAUACGUUCUCGGGUCUUGUACACACUGCCCGUCACGCCAUGGGAAUUGGCUUAACUCGAAGCUGGUGCGCUAACCGAAGAAAAA